GUACACAAAAAUGCACAUAUUGUGAGCUCGAUGAGUAGGGCGGGACACGUGGUAUCCUGUCUGAAUAUGGGGGGACCAUCCUCCAAGGCUAAAUACUCCUGACUGACCGAUAGUGAACCAGUACCGUGAGGGAAAGGCGAAAAGAACCCCGGCGAGGGGAGUGAAAAAGAACCUGAAACCGUGUACGUACAAGCAGUGGGAGCCUCUUAAUGGGGUGACUGCGUACCUUUUGUAUAAUGGGUCAGCGACUUAUAUUCUGUAGCAAGGUUAACCGAAUAGGGGAGCCGAAGGGAAACCGAGUCUUAACUGGGCGUUAAGUUGCAGGGUAUAGACCCGAAACCCGGUGAUCUAGCCAUGGGCAGGUUGAAGGUUGGGUAACACUAACUGGAGGACCGAACCGACUAAUGUUGAAAAAUUAGCGGAUGACUUGUGGCUGGGGGUGAAAGGCCAAUCAAACCGGGAGAUAGCUGGUUCUCCCCGAAAGCUAUUUAGGUAGCGCCUCGUGAAUUCAUCUCCGGGGGUAGAGCACUGUUUCGGCAAGGGGGUCAUCCCGACUUACCAACCCGAUGCAAACUGCGAAUACCGGAGAAUGUUAUCACGGGAGACACACGGCGGGUGCUAACGUCCGUCGUGAAGAGGGAAACAACCCAGACCGCCAGCUAAGGUCCCAAAGUCAUGGUUAAGUGGGAAACGAUGUGGGAAGGCCCAGACAGCCAGGAUGUUGGCUUAGAAGCAGCCAUCAUUUAAAGAAAGCGUAAUAGCUCACUGGUCGAGUCGGCCUGCGCGGAAGAUGUAACGGGGCUAAACCAUGCACCGAAGCUGCGGCAGCGACGCUUAUGCGUUGUUGGGUAGGGGAGCGUUCUGUAAGCCUGUGAAGGUGUGCUGUGAGGCAUGCUGGAGGUAUCAGAAGUGCGAAUGC
rnacentral:rRNA from 1 species